AGAGUUUGAUCCUGGCUCAGGACGAACGCUGGCGGCGUGCCUAAUACAUGCAAGUCGAGCGAGCGGAACCAACAGAUUUACUUCGGUAAUGACGUUGGGAAAGCGAGCGGCGGAUGGGUGAGUAACACGUGGGGAACCUGCCCCUAAGUCUGGGAUACCAUUUGGAAACAGGUGCUAAUACCGGAUAAUAAAGCAGAUCGCAUGAUCAGCUUUUGAAAGGCGGCGUAAGCUGUCGCUAAGGGAUGGCCCCGCGGUGCAUUAGCUAGUUGGUAAGGUAACGGCUUACCAAGGCGACGAUGCAUAGCCGAGUUGAGAGACUGAUCGGCCACAUUGGGACUGAGACACGGCCCAAACUCCUACGGGAGGCGGCAGUAGGGAAUCUUCCACAAUGGACGCAAGUCUGAUGGAGCAACGCCGCGUGAGUGAAGAAGGUUUUCGGAUCGUAAAGCUCUGUUGUUGGUGAAGAAGGAUAGAGGUAGUAACUGGCCUUUAUUUGACGGUAAUCAACCAGAAAGUCACGGCUAACUACGUGCCAGCAGCCGCGGUAAUACGUAGGUGGCAAGCGUUGUCCGGAUUUAUUGGGCGUAAAGCGAGCGCAGGCGGAAAAAUAAGUCUAAUGUGAAAGCCCUCGGCUUAACCGAGG
rnacentral:rRNA from 1 species